GUAGGUGGCAAGCGUUGUCCGGAAUUAUUGGGCGUAAAGCGCGCGCAGGUGGUUCUUUAAGUCUGAUGUGAAAGCCCCCCGGGCUCAACCGGGGAGGGUCAUUGGAAACUGGGGAACUUGAGUGCAGGAGAGGAAAGUGGAAUUCCACGUGUAGCGGUGAAAUGCGUAGAUACGUGGAGGAACACCAGUGGCGAAGGCGACUUUCUGGCCUGUAACUGACACUGAGGCGCGAAAGCGUGGGGAGCAAACAGGAUUAGAUACCCUGGUAGUCCACGCCGUAAACGAUGAGUGCUAAGUGUUGGGGGGGUUUCCGCCCCUCAGUGCUGCAGCUAGCGCAUUAAGCACUCCGCCUGGGGAGUACGGUCGCAAAGACUG
rnacentral:rRNA from 1 species